rnacentral:rRNA from 1 species
GAUGAACGCUGGCGGCGUGCCUAAUACAUGCAAGUCGAGCGAAUGGAUUAAGAGCUUGCUCUCAUGAAGUUAGCGGCGGACGGGUGAGUAACACGUGGGUAACCUGCCCAUAAGACUGGGAUAACUACGGGAAACCGGGGCUAAUACCGGAUGACCUUUUGAACCGCAUGUGUCGUAAUUGAAAGGCGGCUUCGGCUGUCACUUAUGGAUGGACCCGCGUCGCAUUAGCUAGUUGGUGAGGUAACGGCUCACCAAGGGAACGAUACGUAGCCGACCUGAGAGGGUGAUCGGCCACACUGGGACUGAGACACGGCCAGACUCCUACGGGAGGCAGCAGUAGGGAAUCUUCCGCAAUGGACGAAAGUCUGACGGAGCAACGCCGCGUGAGUGAUGAAGGCUUUCGGGUCGUAAAACUCUGUUGUUAGGGAAGAACAAGUGCUAGUUGAAUAAGCUGACACCUUGACGGUACCUAACCAGAAAGCCACGGCUAACUACGUGCCAGCCGCCGCCGUAA